AGAAACCAACAGGGAUUGCCCUAGUAACGGCGAGUGAAGCGGCAACAGCUCGAAUUUGAAAUCUGGCCUCGGCCCGAGUUGUAAUCUGUAGAGGACGCUUUUGGCGCGGUGCCUUCCGAGUUCCCUGGAACGGGACGCCACAGAGGGUGAGAGCCCCGUAAGGUCGGACACCAAGCCUGUGUAAAGCCCCUUCGACGAGUCGAGUAGCUUGGGAAUGCUGCUCUAAGCGGGAGGUAUACUUCUUCUAAAGCUAAAUAUUGGCCAGAGACCGAUAGCGCACAAGUAGAGUGAUCGAAAGAUGAAAAGCACUUUGAAAAGAGGGUCAAAUAGUACGUGAAAUUGUUGAAAGGGAAGCGCUUGUGAUCAGACUCGCGCCGGGCGGAUCAUCCAGUGGUCUCCACUGGUGCACUCCGGCCGGCGCGGGCCAGCGUCGGCUGUUGCGGGGGGACAAAAGCUCUGGGAACGUAGCUCUCUCCGGGGAGUGUUAUAGCCCUCUGCAGAAUACCCCCGCGGCGGCCGAGGUCCGCGCAUUGCAAGGACGCUGGCGUAAUGGUCAUCAGCGACC
rnacentral:rRNA from 1 species